rnacentral:rRNA from 1 species
UACGGGGGGGGCAAGCGUUGUUCGGAAUUACUGGGCGUAAAGGGCCAGUAGGCGGCCAACUAAGUCCGACGUGAAAUCCCAAGGCUUAACCUUGGAACUGCGUCCGAUACUGGGAGGCUUGAAUCCGGGAGAGGGAUGUGGAAUUCCAGGUGUAGCGGUGAAAUGCGUAGAUAUCUGGAGGAACACCGGUGGCGAAGGCGGCAUCCUGGACCGGUAUUGACGCUGAGGCGCGAAAGCCAGGGGAGCAAACGGG